rnacentral:rRNA from 1 species
CUACGUGCCAGCAGCCGCGGUAAUACGGAAGGUCCGGGCGUUAUCCGGAAUUAUUGGGUUUAAAGGGAGCGCAGGCGGGAGUGUAAGUCAGCUGUUAGAUAUCAGGGCCCAACUCUGUUAUGCAGUUGAAACUAUAUUUCUUGAGUACGCACAGGGAUGGCGGAAUUCAGGGUGUAGCGGUGAAAUGCUUAGAUAUCCUGAAGAACUCCGAUCGCGAAGGCAGCCAUCCGGAGCGUAACUGACGCUGAGGCUCGAAGGUGCGGGUAUCAAACAGGAUUAGAUACCCUGGUAGUCCGCACGGUAAACGAUGAAUACUCGCAGUUCGGUUAUUAUGGUCGAGCUGUCCAGCGAAAGCGUUAAGUAUUCCACCUGGGGAGUACGCCGGCAACGGUGAAACUCAAAGGAAUUGACGGGGGCCCGCACAAGCGGAGGAACAUGUGGUUUAAUUCGAUGAUACGCGAGGAACCUUACCCGGGCUUGAAC